rnacentral:rRNA from 1 species
CUCCGUCGUCCUCGGGACGUUAAGGUGCUCUGGUCGAGGAUAAACGACCCCUCUGACCGAGGCUAAUCCGUCGCGCCUUUCCGUGUUACCGUCCGCGGCACACGUUAAAGAUCGUUCCGCGUUGUGAGUCUUUCUGGUUGUAAAAAACACUUUACAACCGGUAGCGCUGGAUCCCUUGGCACGUCAUUCGAUGAAGACCGUUGCAAAUUGCGAUAAAGUGAUGUGAUGCGCAAGUCCACCACUUAUACGUGAAUCAUCGAGUUGUUGAACGCAUUGCACCGCGCCCUAAACCGGCUGCGGUAUGCCCCUUUGAGCGUCAUUACAUCCUUCGGGAGUCUCCUUUGCUGGAGACCCGAGUUCGGAGUCCUCGGUCCUUUGGGAUCGUGUUCUCUCAGAUGCAUCGCGCCGAUCGCUUUGAUGGGUAACUCUAAUGCCUGAGCGUGGAGUCCCUCUGAAGCCGAGACGUGCUUGACCGGGUGUUGAGCCUGUGUCGCCAAGUCCGCUGUCGCUCGCGACGUCGGUACUACAACCUCAUGACCUCAUUGGGGUAGGACAACCCGCUAGACUUAAGCAUAUUAAUCAGCGGAGGAAAAGAAACUAACUAGGAUUCCCUCAGUAACUGCGAGUGAAGCGGGAUCGGCUCAAUGUGUGAAUCUGGCCCGGGGUAAAUCUCGAGUCCGAGUUGUGCACUAUGGACGUUUCGUCUGCGUUUGUAAAGGCGGUGGAAGUCCGUUGAAACACGGCACCUCAGAGGGUCACAGUCCUGUACCACCUGUCUGCACUCGCGCCAAUGACAAGCGCUCCUCGAGUCGCGUAGUUUUGUAUUGCUGCGCCAAGUGGGAGGUAGAGACCUUCUAAGGCUAAAUAUGAUGACGUGACCGAUAGCACACAAGUACCGCGAGGGAAAGGUGAAAAGCAACCAUGAAAAAUGGGUUGAAACAGUAGUGAAAGCGCUACCGGGAUAAGGGCUAUCGGGUGCUGGGGCUCUUUGGGUGUGCUUCAGUGCUACCCUUUGAGACGGCCCACGUGGGUUGAUUUGGGGCG